ACUACGGGGGUAUGUCCUGUUUGCUCCCCACGCUUUCGUGCAUGAGCGUCAGUGUUAUCCCAGGAGAGCUGCCUUCGCCAUCGGUGUUCCUCCGCAUAUCCGCAUUUCCUGCUACACGCGGAAUUCCACCUCCCUCUGACACCUCUAGCUCGGUGAUUAAAUGCAGUUCGAAAGUUAAGCUCUAGGUUCACAUCUUUACUCGAACCGCCUGCACGCUUUACGCCCAGUAAUUCCGAUUAACGCUUGCACCCUACGUAUUACCACGGCUGCUGUGCAAAACAGUUAGCCGGUGCUUAUUCUGCAAUUACCGUCAGUUGCGAGGGUAUUAUCGUGCCGUUUCUUCCUUGCCAAAAAUUCUUUACAACCCAAGAAGGCCUUCAUCGCACGCCGGGAUGGCGUGGAUCAGGUUCCCCAUUGUCCAAAAUUCCCCACUGCCGUA
rnacentral:misc_RNA from 1 species